rnacentral:rRNA from 1 species
GAGGCGGUUCGCCGCCCCCGACGUCGCGAGAAGUCCAUUGAACCUUAUCAUUUAGAGGAAGGAGAAGUCGUAACAAGGUUUCCGUAGGUGAACCUGCGGAAGGAUCAUU